GGAAGAGAUCAGCAGACACAGGACAGAAGGAACCGCUGAGGAGGUUCUCCAGAAGAGAGAUCAAUAGACAUCCACACAGCUUUACAACGUGCUAAAGCUCUUUGAACGUGUUCCUCAAAACGCCUUUGGGAACGAAAUGCGCGCUGCGCUCUCUCGUUGACGCUGCCAAGUCCCGGCCCCGCGCGGAGCAGGCGCCACAGUUGACUGAGCUCCUAAAGGACCAGACCUUGCCUCUCUGUACCCAGGGCGCCUGUCAUAUGGUGGGCAGGCUUAUACUGGAAGAACUGAUAUGCCAGCUAACAGCUCUUUGGUCCUGAGAAACAGUUGCCAUUGGAGAGCUUAGCAGACCCAGUGCAGAAACUGUGUCCUGAAAGGGAACGCCGGUGUGGAGCACGCAGGCACUUCAGGAGCUCAGAAGUCACCCUAAAGGAGAUUUUGAAUGAAAACUUAAAUAAUGCCAGCCGGCGUCCACUGAGCUCUCAGGCAACAUGGGCCGCCGCUGGACCUGCUGGAGUUCUCAGGUGCAGAGUCACAGUCACCCAGAGAGAGCUGGCCUCAGGAGUGGUGCCAGGUAACCACACCUGCAGGAGGCCGAGCAGAAAUCGCACUUUAUUUCUUUGGAAAGAUUCAAGUUUAUAUGUGAGUCCGGUGAAGGCAGUGCCGUCUUCAUGGGCUGUUGCCAUGAAGCAAGUGUUGCAGUGGGACUGGAAGUGGCCCAGACUGGGCCUCAGAAAUCUCCUCCAUGAUUCUCUCUCCAGGCAGAUCUCCAAAUAUCGCCAAGCCUCAGUUUCUUCAUCUCUCAAACGCACAUAAUGUUAGUGCAUGCAGUGGUUUUAAUUGAAAGCACUAAUGUCCAGCACAUAUAACGUAGGCUUCAGUUUUUGUCCAAGGCUGGGAGGAACGAGUUGGAAAUGAUGACGGGCCCAUGGUGCUGCAGCUCAGCCCUCUGCCCAGCCUCUGCCCAGCAGCACACGAGGAGCACAGAGGCAGGUGUUGGUUUGUUAAGCGUUUGUCAAAGAAGCAACGUCCCCGCAACUGACAACAGUCAGGAACUGGCAGGGCCGAUUCCUUUCUGGUUUUGUUCACUCAUUUUUUUUAUGAGCUGAUGAGCAGGUGAUAGGAAUUCUAUUCUCAGAGCCCUUGCAGUUGCUCCAUCUGGAGGGGACCUGCUGAAAAGUUCUAUCCACUCUAGAGGGUGUAGUCGGGCUGCCGGGAGAGAGAGCCAGAAUGUGGGAUUGCCGGUCUCACCUCUCAGGUCCUCCACUCAGCAUGAGGGUCCCUUCCGUCCCGAAGACCCGCGCGGUCAUCCCACCUGUCCCAUCUGUACCACAGGCCACUUGCCAUGAAAAAUGGUUCUUACUCAAUAUAAUUAGGGUUAACACACUACCUGAUUGUUCUUAACAGUCUGUUCUAUGCUUUUUGAGCCAGAAUAAAUAUUAUAACACUCCCAUUAUCUCUCAAAGUGUUUGAGCAAUAAAUUACAUGAUACCCAAAUACAAUAGGUUAGUUUUUCUGUGGGCACCCUCUCAAACCCCAGUGAAUGCCUUAUAUCGGUUGGUAAUAUCCCCUCUGCCAUCAGCUUAGUUGGUUUAUGAUAUACAAAGGCAAGUGAGCAGUUACCUGUAUAAUUUCCACACGGCAGUCCUUAUUCAGUAACUUCGUUCCGGGGUGCUCCUGCCUGAAGUGGGGAGUCCCUACGGUGAACUGCAGUGAACAGAAUGUGAUGAUUCUAAUGAGAAAGGGUUUCCCCCACAGUCCUGUGAAGUAACCUAACUUUGGGGCGCUAACAAUCAUAUGUAAAAGCUACUCUUUCCAAUAAUUCUGAAAUAACAAUGUCAGCUAAUGAAUUAUUUUUAUUCAUCCAUUGUUCAAUUAAACAGUUAUUCAAUAAAUAUUUGUGUUAUGUUUCUGG